UACGUAGGUGGCAAGCGUUGUCCGGAUUUAUUGGGUUUAAAGGGUGCGUAGGCGGCCCCGUAAGUCAGUGCUGAAAUAUCCCGGCUUAACCGGGAGGGUGGCAUUGAUACUGCGAGGCUUGAGUAAAGUUGAGGUAGGCGGAAUUGACGGUGUAGCGGUGAAAUGCUUAGAUAUCGUCAAGAACACCGAUAGUGUAGACAGCUUACUAGCUUUAACUGACGCUGAGGCACGAAAGUGUGGGGGAUCAAACAGG
rnacentral:rRNA from 1 species